GUAUUCCCAAGAUGAACAAUACGUUAACAUUUUUCUUUAAAAUUCAUUUUCGGACUUCAAACCAUAUUAUGAAUUGUGUUAACCAUACUUUUUAGUUCCACAACAUUAUUAUAAACAAGCAAACCCUAAAAUACUCAAAACAGCCGCCACCCUCCAUGUCUGUUUAUCUUUAUGCAGACAAAACAAUAGAUCUUUCUUUCUCUCUCUCUUAAUCUCACACACACCUCACUCAAACACACAGAAAUCGCCUCAAAAUAUCGAUAGUGUGUUUAAUUGUAUAGUGAACGAAGAUGAAGUGCGGUGGUGGUUCGAGUGGGUGAUGACGGCGGAGUCUUUCGAGGGUGGAAGUGGUGGUGACAGAGGUGAAUCCAAGGAGAAGACGGUAGUGUGGGCGGCCGACGGUGUACGGUGGUUGGAUUUAAGGUGAUGGUGAUGUGGUGGUGUGAUCGGAGCGAGGGGCGGAGAAGGGUUAACUACGGUGGUGGAGGGUGAAAGACGGUGAAGUGCGGUGGAACGGUGGUUGAAGGUGGUUGUUGGGUGGUACGUCGCGGCGGAGAAGUGGAGGUGGUACGAUGGCGAUGUGGUAGUGUACGGUGGUCGGAGAUGGUGGAGUCGAUUGAAGGUGAUGACGAUGAAUGGAGAUGUGAUGGUUCGUCGGCAGCGGUGGAUGUUGCAGAUUUACAGUGUACGGCGGAGGUGAAGUAACUCAGACGAAGAAGUGGUUAUGUUUCUCGGAUGAAGAAGUGCUUCGGAUAUAGUUGUGUUGAAGAUUGUAUUUGGAAAUGUAAUUGAUGUUUGUGAGUGAUGAUGAGCGGAGAUAAGUGAAACAAACAGGAACCAAAAACCCCAAAACGCCGUUUACUCUUUCUAUUUUUUUUUUUUUUUUAAAUUCGCCGGUCGGAUUAAAACGGCCGGAAUAACGACGUCGGAAAACGUGACUUACCGGCGUAUUUACCAAAUACGUCGGCGAACUUGAACUCGCGUUCAAGAUUUAAACACGCCGGAGAAAAUUAAGGUCACCGCAAAGAGUAGUAGUACGCCGGAAAAGUGAAAAUAUGCAGGAAAAAUCGCCGGAAUGAUAAAAUCUCAAGAAUCUUCAACGAAAAAAGUUGGAUAUUCGACAAAAACGCCCAAAACUUUCAGAUCUAGUUUAAAACAACUUCAAGUGAAAUGAGAAACGAUUUUAAAUCUUUAUAACUUAUCCAAUUUUUUUUUUUUUUUUAAAUAAACAAAACAUUCAUGCCAUUUCCAAAGAUGAUGACAGUUUAAAAGAUGAAAACCCAAAACCUUAAAAAGAUAAAAAGAUACUCAAAAAUCAGAUUUUUAAUGAUGAACUUGAAGAUUAUUAAAUCCCAAAUUCAAAUACCAAGCUCUGAUACCAAAUUGUAGGAUCAAAUCGAGCCAAAAAUCUGAUUUUGUAUAUGAAUCAAAGAUGAACACACUCAAAAAUAUAUCUUUAAAACCCUUGAAAUGAUUUGCAAAUGAUGAAUACAAUAUAGCCCCCAAAUCUCUCUCUAAGUGUGUUGUCAUAAAACCCUAAUCAUCUCAUUCUAUUUAUAGCCUUUACCAUUUUAGGCUAAUUACAUUUAAGUCGCUAGGGUUAAUUACUUUCCAAAACUAGUAAUAAACAUGAAAACUAAUUAAAUGAGCUAAUAAAUAUAUUUUGUCUAAACAAAAUAUAUUUAAUUAUCCAAAGCAAUAAAGCUGCCAUAUCUCGAACUUCCACGCGCCAUAUCAUUCUUCGACCUUCUCGUGUCGACUUGCGCGUUGACUUUCGCUUGUUGGCGUUGACUUUGUUGACUUGAUUCGUUGAUAACAUUAGACUACACAUUUUAGACCCACAUCGGGUUCCAAGUCCUGCAAUAAAAACAAAAAAGAAUGUCGGUCAGAAGGUUCACCACGGCCCCGUGUUGAGCGAACACGGCCCCGUGGUCGGAAAUACAGCGAUUGUUUUCCAGAUCCCAGUUACUGGAAGUUGGACACAGCCCCGUGUUGCACCGGCACGGCCCCGUGGUCAGCCUUCUGUAACUUUGAAAAACAAAAACUGCCAGUAACUUUGCUGAGCACGGCCCGUGUCCGACCAGGCACGGCCCCGUGCUGAGCUCUGCAGAAGCUAAAAAUCUAAGAAAA
rnacentral:lncRNA from 1 species